rnacentral:rRNA from 1 species
UACAGAGGUCUCAAGCGUUGUUCGGAUUCAUUGGGCGUAAAGGGCGCGUAGGCUGCGGGGCAAGUCGGGUGUGAAAUCUCAGAGCUCAACUCUGAAACUGCACUCGAUACUGCUUUGCUCGAGGACUGGAGAGGAGAUUGGAAUUCACGGUGUAGCAGUGAAAUGCGUAGAUAUCGUGAGGAAGACCAGUGGCGAAGGCGGAUCUCUGGACAGUUCCUGACACUGAGGCACGAAGGCCAGGGGAGCAAACGGG